rnacentral:rRNA from 1 species
AGAGUUUGAUCCUGGCUCAGAACGAACGCUGGCGGCAGGCUUAACACAUGCAAGUCGAGCGAGGACUUCGGUCCUAGCGGCGGACGGGUGAGUAACGCGUGGGAACGUGCCCUUUGCUACGGAAUAGUCCUGGGAAACUGGGUUUAAUACCGUAUGUGCCCUUCGGGGGAAAGAAUUUCGGCAAAGGAUCGGCCCGCGUUGGAUUAGGUAGUUGGUGGGGUAAUGGCCUACCAAGCCGACGAUCCAUAGCUGGUUUGAGAGGAUGAUCAGCCACACUGGGACUGAGACACGGCCCAGACUCCUACGGGAGGCAGCAGUGGGGAAUCUUAGACAAUGGGGGCAACCCUGAUCUAGCCAUGCCGCGUGAGCGAUGAAGGCCUUAGGGUUGUAAAGCUCUUUCGCUGGGGAAGAUAAUGACGGUACCCAGUAAAGAAGCCCCGGCUAACUCCGUGCCAGCAGCCGCGGUAAUACGGAGGGGGCUAGCGUUGUUCGGAAUUACUGGGCGUAAAGCGCGCGUAGGCGGAUUGGAAAGUUGGGGGUGAAAUCCCGGGGCUCAACCCCGGAACUGCCUCCAAAACUAUCAGUCUGGAGUUCGAGAGAGGUGAGUGGAAUUGCGAGUGUAGGGGUGAAAUUC